rnacentral:misc_RNA from 1 species
GAAUACAAGCUCAUCCGAUAUCCGUACACCAUCAGGGUACGAGCUAGCCCAUGGCGUACACCAUCAGGGUACGACUAGUAGAUCUCGUACACCAUCAGGGUACGGAAUUCUCUAGAGUCGAGGAGGACAUCUCAGCAAAAGAGAAGCUGCUGCGGGCGUCGGAGGACGAGCGGGACCGGGUGCUGGAGGAGCUGCACAAGGCAGAGGACAGCCUGCUGGCUGCCGACGAGACCGCCGCCAAGGUAUGUAUCAAGCUUACAAGACAGCUUUAAGGAGACCAAUAGAAACUGGGCAUGUGGAGACAGAGAAGACUCUUGGCCUCGAGAAACCUGUAACUGGAAUGUGUGUGGAGUGUGACUGAUAGAACACUACCUGAUUCUUAUGUAUUUACUGACCUGUGUUUUUUUGCUACUUUUUUUCUUUUCUCCCCUUCCCCUUUCCCUAUUUUUUUUCUUGCCCUGAUCCGGAAUUUGGAUCC